rnacentral:rRNA from 1 species
AAACAUGUCUUUUUGAAAAUAAUUUAAAGUUUAAUCUGCCCCCUGAUNAAAUUAUUAAAGGGCUGCAGUAUUUUGACUGUACAAAGGUAGCAUAAUCAUUAGUCUCUUAAUUGGUGACUUGUAUGAAAGAUUGGAUGAAAUAUAUACUGUCUCUAUUUAAUUUAUAAAAUUUAAUUUUUUAGUAAAAAAGCUAAAAUGAAUUUAAAAGACGAGAAGACCCUAUAGAGUUUGAUAAUUUAUUUAAUUAUUAUUAAUAUAUAAAUUUUAAAAUUAAAAUUAAAUAAAUUAUUUUGUUGGGGUGAUAGAAAAAUUAAAUUAACUUUUUUUUUAUUUUAUACAUUAAUUUAUGAAUGAAUGAUCCAUUAAUAAUGAUUAAAAGAAAAAAUUACCUUAGGGAUAACAGCGUAAUUUUUUUUUUUAGUUCAAAUAGGAAAAAAAGUUUGCGACCUCGAUGUUGGAUUAAGAUAAAAUUUAAAUGCAAAAGUUUAAAAUUUUGAUCUGUUCGAUCAUUAAAAUCUUA